rnacentral:rRNA from 1 species
UGGCUGUCGUCAGCUCGUGUCGUGAGAUGUCGGUUAAGUCGCUAACGAGCGCAACCCUCGUCGUAUGUUAUAUGUGUCAUACGAGACUGCCGGUAAAAAGCCGGAGGAAGGUGAGGAUGAUGUCAAGUCAGCAUGACCUUUAUAUCCAGGGCUACACACACGCUACAAUGGUCUGUACAAUGGGUAGCCAAGCCGCGAGGCGGAGCCAAUCCUGAAAGCAGGCCUCAGUUCAGAUUGCAGUCUGCAACUCGACUGCAUGAAGCCGGAGUUGCUAGUAACCGCAGGUCAGCAAUACUGCGGUGAAUACGUUCCCGGGUCUU